rnacentral:rRNA from 1 species
UGGGGAAUAUUGCACAAUGGGGGAAACCCUGAUGCAGCGACGCCGCGUGAGCGAAGAAAGCUUUCGAGUCGUAAAGCUCUGUCCUAUGAGAAGAUAAUGACGGUAUCAUAGGAGGAAGCCCUGGCUAAAUACGUGCCAGCAGCCGCGGUAAUACGUAUGGGGCGAGCGUUGUCCGGAAUUAUUGGGCGUAAAGGGUACGUAGGCGGUUUUUUAAGUCAGGUGUCAAAGCGUGGAGCUUAACUCCAUUAAGCACUUGAAACUGAAAGACUUGAGUGAAGGAGAGGAAAGUGGAAUUCCUAGUGUAGCGGUGAAAUGCGUAGAUAUUAGGAGGAAUACCGGUGGCGAAGGCGACUUUCUGGACUUUUACUGACGCUCAGGUACGAAAGCGUGGGGAGCAAACAGG